CGGGGAGCACCACAACAAGGUGGAGCCUGCGGUUUAAUCGGACUCAACGCCGGGAAACUCACCAGAUAAGACAGCUGAAUGAUAGUCGGGCUGAAGACUCUACUUGACUAGCUGAGAGGAGGUGCAUGGCCGUCGUCAGUUCGUACUGUGAAGCAUCCUGUUAAGUCAGGCAACGAGCGAGACCCACGCCAACAGUUGCCAGCUCGUCCUCCGGGAUGGUGGGGACACUGUUGGGACCGCUCUGCUAAAGAGGAGGAAGGAAUGGGCAACGGUAGGUCAGCAUGCCCCGAAUUAUCUGGGCUACACGCGGGCUACAAUGGGUGGGACAAUGGGUAUCGACACCGAAAGGUGAAGGCAAUCUCCUAAACCCAUCCGUAGUUCGGAUUGUGGGCUGCAACUCGCCCACAUGAAGCUGGAAUCUGUAGUAAUCGUGUUUCAAAAUAGCGCGGUGAAUAUGUCCCUGCUCCUU
rnacentral:rRNA from 1 species